rnacentral:rRNA from 1 species
GACGAACGCUGGCGGCGUGCUUAACACAUGCAAGUCGAACGGAAAGGCCCAUUAGGGGGUACUCGAGUGGAGAACGGGUGGGUAACACGUGAGUGACCUGCCAUUGACUUCGGGAUAACUUCUGGCAACUGGGGCUAAUACCGGAUAGGAAUUAUUGUUGCCUGGCGGGGGUUGGAAAGCUUCGGCGGUUUUGGCUGGACUCGCGGCUUAUCAGCUUGAUGGUGGGGGUGUGGCUAACCAAGGCUUGGACGGGUAGCCGGCCUGAGAGGGCGACCGGCCACAUUGGGACUGAGAGACGGCCCAGACUCGUACGGGAGGAAGCAGUGGGGAAUAUUGCACAAUGGGUGGAGGCCGGAUGCAGCAACGCCUCGUGUGGGAUGACGGCCUUCGGGGGGUGAACCGCUUGCAGCAGGAGCGAAGCUGUUAGUGACGUUACCUGCAGAAGAAGCACCGGCUAACUACGUG